GGAAGAGUGGCUGAGUGGCCGAUAGCGACGGUCUUGAAAACCGUUGAGUGUAACAGCUCCGUGAGUUCGAAUCUCACCUCUUCCG
rnacentral:tRNA from 1 species